rnacentral:rRNA from 1 species
AGAGUUUGAUUCUGGCUCAGAACGAACGCUGGCAGCGUGGAUUAGGCAUGCAAGUCGAACGGGAACCUGUGGAUUCAAGUUUUCGGACAAGAAUCCAUGGGGGAGAGUGGCGAAAGGGUGAGUAACGCGUGGGCAAUCUGCCCUCAAGUUUGGGACAACUCAGCGAAAGCUGGGCUAAUACCGGAUGUGGUUAUCCGUUGCAUGACGGGUGGACUAAAGUUGGGGACCCUUCGGGGCCUAACGCUUGGGGAGGAGCCCGCGUCCCAUCAGCUUGUUGGUGAGGUAACGGCUCACCAAGGCAUACGGGUAGCUGGUCUGAGAGGAUGGUCAGCCACUCUGGGACUGAGACACUGCCCAGACUCCUACGGGAGGCUGCAGUCGAGGAUCAUUGGCAAUGCGCGAAAGCGUGACCAUGCGACGCUGCGUGGAGGAUGACGGCCUUCGGGUUGUAAACUCCUGUCAUUCGGGAAAAAUCGUCCGGUUCCCAAUACGGGCCGGGCUUGAUGGUACCGGAAGAGGAAGCCACGGCUAACUCUGUGCCAGCAGCCGCGGUAAUACAGAGGUGGCGAGCGUUGUUCGGAUUUACUGGGCGUAAAGAGUGCGUAGGUGGUUCCGUGUGUCGAAUGUGAAAGCCCACUGCCUAACAGUGGAAUUGCAUUCGAAACUGCGGUGCUAGAGUACAGGAGGGGAGAGCGGAAUUCUUGGUGUAGCGGUGAAAUGCGUUGAGAUCAAGAAGAACACCGGUGGCGAAGGCGGCUCUCUGGAAUGGUACUGACACUGAGGCACGAAAGCUGGGGGAGCGAACAGGAUUAGAUACCCUGGUAGUCCCAGCUGUAAACGGUGCGCACUUGGUGUGGGAGGUAUUGACCCCUUCCGUGCCGGAGCUAACGCGUUAAGUGCGCCGCCUGGGGAGUACGGCCGCAAGGCUAAAACUCAAAGAAAUUGACGGGGGCCCGCACAAGCGGAGGAGCAUGUGGCUUAAUUCGAUGCAACGCGAAGAACCUUACCAGGGCUUGACAUGCAGCUGCAAGCCCGGUGAAAGCCGGGCCGCCUUCGAGGGUGCUGCACAGGUGCUGCAUGGCUGUCGUCAGUUCGUGCCGUGAGGUGUUGGGUUAAGUCCCGCAACGAACGCAACCCUUGUGUCUAUUUGCCACUCCUGUUUUGCAGGAAGCACUCUAGACAGACUGCCCGUACAAGCGGGAGGAAGGUGGGGAUGACGUCAAGUCAGUAUGGCCCUUACGCCCUGGGCUGCACACGUGCUACAAUGGUCGGUACAGAAGGAUGCAAACCGCGAGGUGGCGCCAAUCCUCAAAACCGGCCUCAGUUCGGAUUGGAGUCUGCAACUCGACUCCAUGAAGUUGGAUUCGCUAGUAACGGCGUAUCAGCUACGACGCCGUGAAUACGUUCCCGGGCCUUGUACACACCGCCCGUC